rnacentral:lncRNA from 1 species
AAAACUUCGAAUACCCCCCUUAUGGUUUCACUCUUUCGCACUUUAGUACCCUGUGAUUUAAAGUGUAUCAAAUUAGUACUCUGUGGUUUCGCACUUUCUCACUUUAGUACCCUGUGGUUUCAAGUGUAUCAAGUUAGUACCCUGUGGUUUCGCGCUUUCUCACUUUAGUACUCUGUGAUUUCAAGUGUAUCAAGUUAGUACCCUAUGGUUUCGCACUUUCUCACUUUAGUACCAUGUGGUUUAAAGUGUAUCAAGUUAGUACCCUUUGGUUUCAUACUUUCUUACUUUAGUACCCUAUGGUUUAAUAUUUCAUUAAGAGAAAAAUAAAACCACAGGGUACUAACUUGAUACAAAAAUAAAACCACAGGAUGCUAACAAACUUAAUACACUUUAAACCAUAGGGUACUAAAGUAAAAAAGUCCGAAAACAUAUGGUACUAACUUCAUACACUUUAAACUGUACGAUACUAAAAUAAAAAAAUGCGAAACCAUAGGGAGUUUUUGAAGUUUUCACAUUAUUAUUAUAUAUUUUUUAUUUAAUAAAAUUAAUAUAGUAUAUAUAUUUCUUAUAAAUAUCUUUUUUUAUCAUAUAGUAUUUCAUGGUUAUUAUUUUUUUUGAGAAAGAAUUACAUGGUUAUUAUUAUAUUAUAUAGAGUAAGGUUAUUAUAUAUAUAAUUAUGAGUAUAAAUUCCUUUGUGCUAAAAAUGUUUGGCCAUUAGAUGAAUGAAUGUGUUGUUAAAAUGAUAGCAGUCCUCUAGAGCUGAGUGAGUGAUUGUUUGAAUAGUAUGAUUUAAUAGAUAAAAAUGAUCAAAUUAUGAGUAGAUCUAACGGCCGAAAACUUAUAAGAGUACAAAAGGGACUAUACUCAUACGGCUAUAAGAGUAUAGUAGUCAAACUCCUAUUUUAUAUUAUAGGUAAACUUCAAAUACUAUCCUUGUAGUUUCGUAUUUUCUGACUUUAGUACUCUAUGGUUUAAAAUAUAUCAAUUUAGUUUCAUGUGGUUUUAUUUUUCAUUUUUCAUCGGUCUCUCUGUUAACUUUCCGUUAAAUUAUAUACAAAAAACUUUAGAUACCCCACCUAUAGUAUAUCGAAUAUUCACUUUAGCAUUUUUUAGUUUUAAUUUUGUCACUGAUUUAACGAAAAAAAUUUAAUGGAGGAUAUAACAAAAGGAGAAAAAUGAAACCAUAGGGUACGAAAGUGGUACACUUUAAACAAACAGGGUACUAAAGUGAGAAAGUGCAAAACCAUAGGGUUGGUAUUUGAAGUUUUUCCUAUAUUAUAUUACUUACUUAUUAAUUCAACAUAUAAUAUAGCUUUGAUGUUUUUUUUUUUAUAAAUAUAAGUUAUAAUAAUAAUAUGUAUAGUAUGAAAAUAUAUAUUUUUUAUAAAUAUAUAUAAUAUAUAAUAAUAUAUAAUGUUUUAAUCAUUUUUUUUCUUUGAACUAAACAAGUAUAAUUGAAAACUAAUUUUCCUUUCCUACAAACUAAAUAUUCAAACACGUAAAAUUCUUUUUUC